rnacentral:rRNA from 1 species
UAAGUAACCUGCCCUUAACUCUGGGAUAAGCCUGGGAAACUGGGUCUAAUACCGGAUAUGACUCCUCAUCGCAUGGUGGGGGGUGGAAAGCUUUUUGUGGUUUUGGAUGGACUCGCGGCCUAUCAGCUUGUUGGUGAGGUAAUGGCUCACCAAGGCGACGACGGGUAGCCGGCCUGAGAGGGUGACCGGCCACACUGGGACUGAGACACGGCCCAGACUCCUACGGGAGGCAG